AAUGGCAUCACGUGUUUCCCAAUUCCCAGGUUACAGUUUCGUACAUUUUAUUUUCUUUUAAGAACUAAUAUAGUUAUUUAUUAUGGAAUGAAGAGAUUAUUAGAAGGAUUCACAUAGUUUUUUUUUAUAUUUAAAUUGAAAAAUUCAGAGCAUCGUACGGAUUAGAAAAAUGUACAAUAUGUCAAUUAAUUGACAAAUCCUAUACCAUGUCUCUUUUUAUUUAAAAUCAUGUCCAAUGCACGUACCUAAUCGUUGAACCGCUUCAUCGACGAAAUUAAUAUGUUAGAGAGGUGAUACGUACAUUUAUUAUUUAAAUUUAAUUUUCAAGACAACCCCUUUCAACCUGACCGCUCUCAUAUUUAUUGAAAGUAUUGGCCAAUUUACCUCCACUAGUCACUGAGGGGCCGGGGGCUAGAGGUCCAGGAUUUAGUCCUACUAAACUGGGACACCUGGGUUAUCAAAAAAAAAAAAAAAAAAGUAUUGGCCAAUUGUCCAAUUUAUUAUUAUUAUUGAUGUCACUCUUUAAAAAUCUUUGACUCUGACCAGACAGCAAGUAGGAGAAAGUGUAUAUUAUUGACUAGUCAAAAGCAAAAUAUCAGUAGUGGGUACGGUCCAAAUCAGUUGGAGCCGUUGGAUGGAGUGCUUGCUAGCAGAUGUAAUCUCCACAGGCUUGCAAUCUAGUAUCAAGUCUAAUACGAAACUAUAUUAUUAUUACGAGUAAAUUAGGCUUGCUGUAUUGUAUUGUAUAAUAUAUCAUGCCCUUUGGGAAAAUUUUUGUUGGGAAUAUGUUAUCAUGGCUAAUGUUUGAUACUGAACUCAACAGGACUUUGUCGAAGAACUUGAACACUAGUGCUGGACAGUAUUGAGCAAAGAAAUUGAUAAAGUCGUGGAAGAAAGCAUUAGGAUAGGGAAUGAAUCAUAGUUAUUAAAUUCAGACUGAACCAAUCAUUCCAA
rnacentral:sRNA from 1 species